GGCUGCUCUUUCACCUCAUCAUCAUCUCGCGCCUGGCGACGGUUUUGUUGACUAGUUCUUGCUUUUUUGUCCAGAGUCUAAGAACCGGUGCCGGCCUUUCGAUCCACGCGCGAGCCGUUGCUGUUCUUGGGCUUGCGCUCCGCAAAGAAGUAUCAAUCCUGUCGAUCGCUCGGUCAUGUAGACGUCAGCGAAGGCGACAGCGUGGACAGACUUCAUGGACGACGGUUGUUUCUUGAAGAGGAGAGGAGAGGAAAUGAACGAAGAGGAGGAGAAGGGAGCAGAGAGGCGAGGGGCGAGAAGAUAAAGUGCCUUCAUCUUCUUUGAAUCCCUUCGCCCCGUUCGGUUCGAUCUUGAAGAUGGAGGUAUCUGCGCUGGUGUUGGCUUGUGGCGUGAGGGUGGGAGCUGAUGGAAGGUACAAGAUUUGGUGUUGUAUUGGCAAUCCGUUGGCAUUGCAUUCGGCAGCAUGCUUCCGAGGCCAAGUGCUUCACAGUGCCGUCUUCACCAGAGGGUUGGAACUGAUGGAACCAAUAAUAGGUCCCUGUAUGCCAUCAAGGUCGGACCUUUCCACGACCCCAAGUGAUUUCUUUUCGAUUCUUACCACACCAUCGCUUUGAGAACAUAGUGCUGCAACACCCAUAUAGCCGAAUACUUACAAGCAGACAGCUAGAGUGGCCCUCUGUGCAUCUUCACUGUAGUGCCAGAUUUAUUUUGCUGGAGCGUUGUUAGUAACUAUCUUAUUAAGUAAAUGUUUUUAUUUCUUUAGAUUAUUAGUUAUCGAAUUCAUCAUGGCAAAUCAGAGUUUUGCAUUCACUAUCUCCCUCACCUCGCAACAUGGAACUUGUGAUUUGUUUAACAUUUCAUUCAGUGAUGUACUUCCAUGUGAUGACAUGAAUUUAUGCAUCUUCUUUCAGGUUGAGAGAUCAUUUGACUUAUCCGGGGUUCGUAAAUUUUUUUUUUUCUCGACUUGAUUAAAAACAUGUAUGUUUAUUCUGUGGAUUAUGGAUGUAUUUUACAGAUUUUCUGGUGAACUA